UUAGUCAUUAAACCCUCUUCUAUCCCCCCACACCACCGCUUCCCCCCAAUCGCCGCCGCUCGCCGCUCGCCGCUCGCCGCCGCCGUCGCCUCGCCUCCUCGCUCCAACCGCUUCGCCGCCGGCGAGCGGGUUUGACCCCUCCUGCGCCGCACACCUCGGCCGCGCUGCGAUCCCUUCCUCCCGCUCUCCGCACACGCCUCGACCUCGCCGCGGCAUUUCGACGAGCACCACGCGCGCUAGCAAAAGCAGCCCCCGCGAUCGAUCGAUGGCCAACGACGGCAAGGACGUGAGGAAGGUGGCUAGGGCGGUGCUGAUGCGGGACUACGACGGGGACCACGGGGGGGCGCUGGAGCGCGCCGGGAAGCUCGCGCGCGACCACCCCGGGUCGGCGAUCGCGCUCCGGCUCGUCGGGGACCUCAACCACGCCGCGGCGAUCAGGGUGCGGAAGGUGAUCGAGAUCGGUGGGAGUCUGGGCCGCGCCGCGGAGCGGGACGCGAGCGCGCACCUCGCGGCGGCACGCGACGCGCUCUCCGAGGCAAGGCGGCUCGUCCCCGACUGCGUCGGCAUCGCCACCGCGCUCGGCGACGUGCUCGUCGGCUCCUCCAUGGCCGAAAAAGCGGAGCAAGCGUACACCUCGGCGCUGGCCAUCCCACUCCCCGUCGACCCGGCGCUGCACAACGCGGCGUACUGCCUCCACGGCCGGGACCGCACCACCGUGAACGCGAGGGUGAAGGAUGCCAGGGAGAAGGCCAACCUCGCCUACGGCCGCUUCAAGAAGAAGGUGGUCGAUGAGUGGGUGGCCGAGAUGCUCCAAUUCCUUCGCGGCGAUCUCCUCCGGAAGAACCCGCGCGCGUCGGCGAAGGAGAUCCUCAAGGCGCAGCGCGACGCGAUGGUGGAGGCGCGCAAGAAGGCGAAGAGCAUGGUCGACGCUAUGCCGAACUCGGCCCGCGCGCAGUGCUUCCACGGCCUCAUGGACCUCAAUUUCGUGUACCUCCUCGACGAGGCCAUCGACAAGCGGAGCGCCCUGCGGCGGAGCACCCUGGCCAUCUUGGACCGCGCCGCGGAGAGGUUCCCCAAAUCGUUGGUGAUCGCCUCCUUCCGCGCCAAGCUCCUGUACAUCCUGGGCGACUACGACGCCGCGGAGCGCGACUGCCGGCGAGGGUACACCAUGAAGAAUCCCGAUGACCCAGCGGAUGAUUGCAUCCCACCUGGUUCCAUAGGCGGGGAGAACAAGGGCGACAGGCUGAUUACUCAUGUCAGCGAGUUCCAUGAGCUGAUCAACAAGAUCGUGAGGACGGCCAAUUUGUACUGGAAUUCCAUGACACAAGAGCAAAGGGGCGAGUUCCUAAGCGUGAGGUUCGAUGAACUACAAGAAGACUACAACAAGGUUGAUCGAUCUUCGUUCACCAUGUCGGAUGUGCUGAGAUUUGGGGAGAAACACAAUUCUUACAGGUUCUGGGUUUGUCCCUUGUGUGGUAGUGGUAGCAGUAGCAAGAAGCAUACAGACACCGUCUCGCUGUUGUCACACAUGUGCAGCAAGCACCAAAGGGCAGUAUUGCCGAGGCUGCGGUCAGUUCUAGAUCAAGAGCUGGAUCGCAGUGCAUUUGAAGAUGAUGAGUACUCUUUCAACAAGGUGAUUUUCUCUCAAGAUUCUGAUCAGCGCAACAUUGUCUGCUUCGAAGAGAGAGAUCAGAUGUUCAAAUGGCUGUUUGAUAAACCCUCAAGUGGAGUACGAACACUGGCGCUCACUGAAUUAAUAGAAACAAAACGCAGGACAGGAGCUUUGCUCCUUGACAAUAUCAAGGAGAAGUUGAAGACUUUGGCUACAGAUAAAUCUAGUACUGAGUUCGCCGAGGCUCUUCCAGGAAUCCAGGAAUCGUGGAUUAAAUUUGUUAAAGAAACUGCUGUGGAUUAUAGAGCACUCAUCUUGGCGAUUGGAAGAUCAUUGUUAUGGAGAAAAUUAAAGAAAUGCAUGUCUGAGGACCCAGAAGUAGGUGCUAGGAGGAUUAGUGCUGCUGAUAUUGAUGAAGUGUUUGUUAUUGUUGCUUAUAAUUCUGGUAGCAGUGCUGUUGAAGACAAGACAGAAGCUCACAUGUCUUCACACUCAGAUGCAGCUCAAAAGAUGAAUGGGAAUCAUCAAGAAAGUGACUUUCAUGCUGAAAAUAGAAGUUCUGGGACCAUUGUCGACAUGAAACCACAAGAUCCGCCAACCAACAUGGAAGGAAAUGGAAAUAAGCUAGAUGAACAGAUGGAAAAACUGGAUAUUGAUCCAAAUUCUGUCCGAUCAAGUGCAAUUCCUCAGUCCAGUACACCAAAUGGAAAUGGUUCCCCCCACAUAUUAGGAUCUUCUAGCCAAUUUUCAGAUGAAUCAGCACAAAUUUCCAUCUAUCAAAAAGAGUGUUGAUGUUCUCAACCAAAACAGUGAAGACAUAUUUUUCUUGCAUUUGAUCAUACAGACAAUGUGGAAUUUGAGGCCUUUCAGGGAUGAUUUUUUAAAGAGGCCACCUGCCAGUUUCCAGUUAAGACAUAAUGGCUCCUGCUUUUCUGAUAUAUUCUAUGACAUCUUCUCUGCUUGGGAGAAAAAUGAUCACCACGAAACAUACUAUUCACUGACUUCUCUGAAGAACAAUUUGUGCCAAACUGUAAAUGUUAGAAAUAUAUUUGAAAAGCUGCGGGCUGGAAAAUAUUUUGCUUCUGUGAUUUUGGAUUUAGUUCUCGACGAACUGCACGUGUCAGAAGCUCCUUUGCAUUUCUAUUUCAACAACAAGAUUCAGGGACAAGUAGUAAGUCCAAUCACUUGUGAAGGCUGUAUAUGCCGAGCGCAUGUUCUUUUUGGGAUGAGGUUCCUGGUGCGAACGAGCUGUAGGUGUGGAGCAUGUUUUGAUGAAGGAAAAUACAGUACACUUAUCCAUAAACUUGAUGCAGGUUUACCUCAAACACCAAAGAUCAAGUCCUUUGCAGAUCUUCCAGUUGCAAUUGAUGAACGGUUUUGGUACCUGCAGGACGAAUGCCAGUCUUGUGGAAAUCUGAAGAGUGUUGGCCACUUUCUUUUGAAUACACCGCACUUCUUUACAGUAGUUUUGAAAUGCACGGAUAGUAGCAAAAGCCAUGUCAGCCUGUCUGAACUUCUAGUUGGCUGCACAUCUCCCCCUGAUAUUACACUCGCAACUAAGUAUACUCUGGCCUCAAUGAUCUGCUGUUCUGACGGGCAGUAUGUCUGUAUUUCUCGGGACCAAAACAAAUGGCUCAUAUAUGACACCAAGACUAUCGAGGCAGAAGAUUCCUGGGAGCGUUUGGUACAGCGUUUUACAGAUAGCGAGCUCAUACCUGAAGUCAUCAUCUUCGAGGUCAUCAAGUAGCUAUAGAUAGAUUGCAUUCCGUUAGCAAGUUUAUUCUCUCACAGAUUCUGUUGUUGACAAUUUUAGUUGAUGUGCUCUGUAAUUCUGCUGCUUACAUACUCAUGUGAUCUUGUGUGGGUAACAUGGGUGAUGGAUCAUGGAUGAUGCUGAUAAA